GGGUUUCAUACCAGGGAUGCAGUGAUGGUUUAAUAAGUCAAUAAAUGUGAUACACCACGCAAACAGAAUUAAAAACAAAAAUCACUUUAUCAUCUCAAUAGAUGCAGAAAAAGCAUUCAACAAAAUCCAGCAUCGGUUUAUGAUUAAAGCUCUCAGAAAAAUCGGCAUACAAAGAAAAUAAAUUAAAAAAUUGAACUCAUGGAGAAGGAAGUAGAAUGAUGGUUACCAGAAGCUAGGAAGGGUAGCGGAGAGGGGGUAUAAAGUGGGGAUGAUUAAUGGGUACAAAUUACAGUUAAAUAGAAUGAAUA
rnacentral:lncRNA from 1 species